rnacentral:rRNA from 1 species
UACGUAGGUGGCAAGCGUUAUCCGGAUUUAUUGGGCGUAAAGGGAACGCAGGCGGUCUUUUAAGUCUGAUGUGAAAGCCUUCGGCUUAACCGGAGUAGUGCAUUGGAAACUGGGAGACUUGAGUGCAGAAGAGGGAAGUGGAAUUCCAUGUGUAGCGGUGAAAUGCGUAGAGAUAUGGAGGAACACCAGUGGCGAAGGCGGCUUCCUGGUCUGCAACUGACACUGAGGCGCGAAAGCGUGGGGAGCAAACAGG